rnacentral:rRNA from 1 species
UACGUAGGGGGCAAGCGUUGUCCGGAAUCAUUGGGCGUAAAGGGCGCGUAGGCGGUCUCUUAAGCGUGUGGUGAAAGCCCGGGGCUCAACUCCGGGUCGGCCGUGCGAACUGGGGGACUGGAGCUUGUCAGAGGCAGGCGGAAUUCCGGGUGUAGCGGUGGAAUGCGUAGAGAUCCGGAAGAACACCGGUGGCGAAGGCGGCCUGCUGGGACAGUGCUGACGCUGAGGCGCGACAGCGUGGGGAGCAAACAGG